UACGGGGGGGGCAAGCGUUGUUCGGAAUUACUGGGCGUAAAGGGCUCGUAGGCGGCCAACUAAGUCAGACGUGAAAUCCCCAGGCUCAACCCAGGAACUGCGUCCGAUACUGGUUGGCUUGAAUCCGGGAGAGGGACGUGGAAUUCCAGGUGUAGCGGUGAAAUGCGUAGAUAUCUGGAGGAACACCGGUGGCGAAGGCGACGUCCUGGACCGGCAUUGACGCUGAGGCGCGAAAGCCAGGGGAGCAAACGGG
rnacentral:rRNA from 1 species